rnacentral:rRNA from 1 species
GCUAACGAGCGCAACCCUCACUGUGUGUUACGAUGUGUCGACACGGGACUGCCGGUUUUAAGCCGGAGGAAGGCGGGGAGUGACGUCAAGUCAGCAUGGCCUUUAUAUCUUGGGCUACACACACGCUACAAUGGUCUGUACAAUAGGUUGCCAAGCCGCGAGGCGGAGCCAAUCCUCAAAGUUGGUCUCAGUUCAGAUUGCAGGCUGCAACCCGCCUGCAUGAAGAUGGAGUUGCUAGUAACCGCAGGUCAGCUAUACUGCGGUCGAAUACGUUCCCGGGGCCUU